AUUGAACGCUGGCGGCAUGCCUUACACAUGCAAGUCGAACGGCAGCACGGGAGCAAUCCUGGUGGCGAGUGGCGAACGGGUGAGUAAUAUAUCGGAACGUGCCCGGUCGUGGGGGAUAACGUAGCGAAAGCUACGCUAAUACCGCAUACGAUCUACGGAUGAAAGCGGGGGAUCGCAAGACCUCGCGCGAUUGGAGCGGCCGAUAUCAGAUUAGGUAGUUGGUGAGGUAAAGGCUCACCAAGCCGACGAUCUGUAGCUGGUCUGAGAGGACGACCAGCCACACUGGGACUGAGACACGGCCCAGACUCCUACGGGAGGCAGCAGUGGGGAAUUUUGGACAAUGGGCGCAAGCCUGAUCCAGCAAUGCCGCGUGCAGGAUGAAGGCCCUUC
rnacentral:rRNA from 1 species